CACCGCGGUUACACGAAUAACUAAAAUUGAUAAACCCGGCACAAAGGGUGGUUAAUAGAACAUAAAAUAAAGCUAAACAUGCCCACAGCUGUAUAAACCUAAAUAGUAUAUGAAACCCAAUCCUAAAACAAGCUUUAUUAAAUUGACCCCACGUAACCUAUAACA
rnacentral:rRNA from 1 species